GACGAACGCUGGCGGCGUGCUUAACACAUGCAAGUCGAACGAAGAGCGAUGGAAGCUUGCUUCUAUCAAUCUUAGUGGCGAACGGGUGAGUAACGCGUAAUCAACCUGCCCUUCAGAGGGGGACAACAGUAGGAAACGAUUGCUAAUACCACAUACGAUCCAAUCUCGGCAUGGGGUCGGGAUGAAAGGUGGCCUCUAAUGAUAAGCUGUCACUGCAGGUGGGGGUUGCGUCUGAUUCGCUAGUUGGAGGGGACAGGGCCCUCCAAGGCGAUGAACAGUGGCAGGUCUGAGAGGAUGGACGGCCACAUUGGGACUGAGACACGGCCCAGACUCCUACGGGUGGCAGCAGUGGGGAAUCUUCCGCAAUGGACGAAAGUCUGACGGAGCAACGCCGCGUGAGUGAGGACGGCCUUCGGGUUGUAAAGCUCUGUUAAUCGGGACGAAUGGUUCUUGUGCGAAUAGUGCGAGGAUUUGACGGUACCGGAAUAGAAAGCCACGGCUAACUACGUG
rnacentral:rRNA from 1 species